UACGAAGGUGGCAAGCGUUACUCGGAAUUACUAGGCGUAAAGGGCAGGUAGGUGGCUUGAUAAGUCUGUUGUGGAAGCUCCCGGCUCAACUGGGAGAGGUCAACAGAUACUAUCAGGCUUGAGUAUAGGAGAGGGUACUGGAAUUCCCGGUGUAGCGGUGAAAUGCGCAGAGAUCGGGAGGAACACCAACGGCGAAAGCAGGUACCUGGACUAUUACUGACACUCAGCUGCGAAAGCUAGGGGAGCAAACAGG
rnacentral:rRNA from 1 species